ACUGUGUCCGGGUCAGCUGCUGCCGCCGACGCCGUACCGCUGCGGCCGGGGGAUUGGGCCGGGGUCUCCACCGCCGACCGAGGGGAGCGGGCUCCGCUCGGCCCUGCUUUUUGCGACCUGGCCGUCAGCCCCACGUCGCCGGCCUGGAGGGGCGAAGAGGACGAGGGGGCCAAGGCUUCCUCCGGGGACAUUGGCUCCCUGGAUUAUCAAGAGUUUGUAGUUGACAUUGAAUCCAGGCUGAGGAUGGAAGGUGUGGAACUUAAAGAAGAAUGGCAAGAUGAAGAUUUUCCGAUACCUUUACCAGAAGAUGAUAGUAUUGAAGCAGAUAUACUAGCUAUAACUGGACCAGAGGACCAGCCUGGCUCACUAGAAGUUAAUGGAAAUAAAGUGAGAAAGAAACUAAUGGCUCCAGACAUUAGCCUGACACUGGAUCCUAGUGAUGGCUCUGUAUUGUCAGAUGAUUUGGAUGAAAGUGGGGAGAUUGACUUAGAUGGCUUAGACACACCGUCAGAGAAUAGUAAUGAGUUUGAGUGGGAAGUCAUUUCCUGGAAGGAUAUUUUCCGUUAACAGCUUUGUCUUGGAAACAACUAACAUGCAAUGAUCUUCCAAAACCCAAGACUACUGAAGUAAUUAGGA
rnacentral:sRNA from 1 species